rnacentral:RNase_P_RNA from 1 species
GUGAGGAAAGUCCGGGCUCCGCAGAGCAGGAUAACGGCUAACGGCCGCCGAGGGUGACCUUAGGGAAAGUGCAACAGAGAUAUACCGCCCGAUUCCGAUCGGGUAAGGGUGGAAAGGCGAGGUAAGAGCUCACCGGCGCACGGGAGACCGUGCAGCCCUGCAAACCCUAUCCGGAGCAACAUCGACUGUGGGCAGACGCUGGCUCGGCGCAGUUCCCCGACAGAUGGCGAGAGCCGUCCGGCAACGGACGGCGUAGAAAGAUGACCGCCUUCAACGACAGAACCCGGCUUACAGGUCUGCUCAU